rnacentral:rRNA from 1 species
UCCAUGAGUACAGUGGCGUACGGGUGAGUAGCACGUGGAUCAUCUACCUCUUGAUGGGGAAUAACCCUGGGAAACCGGGGCUAAUACCGCAUAAGCCUGUAAAGGGAAAGCAGCAAUGCGUCGAGAGAGGAGUCCGCGGCCGAUUAGCUAGUUGGUAGGGUAAAGGCCUACCAAGGCAAUGAUCGGUAGCCGGCCUGAGAGGGCACACGGCCACACUGGCACUGAAACACGGGCCAGACUCCUACGGGAGGCAGCAGUGGGGAAUCUUGCACAAUGGAGGAAACUCUGAUGCAGCGACGCCGCGUGAGCGAUG